rnacentral:rRNA from 1 species
UACAGAGGGGGCAAGCGUUGUUCGGAAUUACUGGGCGUAAAGGGCGCGUAGGCGGCCGCCUAAGUCAGACGUGAAAUCCCUCGGCUCAACCGGGGAACUGCGUCUGAUACUGGGUGGCUUGAAUCCGGGAGAGGGAUGCGGAAUUCCCGGUGUAGCGGUGGAAUGCGUAGAGAUCGGGAAGAACAUCAGUGGCGAAGGCGGUCUGCUGGGCCGUUGCUGACGCUGAGGCGCGACAGCGUGGGGAGCAAACAGG